UGCUUUUCCACUGGAAAAAAAUAGUUAAUAAAAUGGCAGCCAUUAUUUGGUAACUGCCCCCCAAAUAGCUCUGCUAACACAAAAAUAUAAUUUUGAUUGAGUCUAUACCAUCCACUGUAACAAAGAUUUUUCUAAAAGCCCACGUGAAAACUUCAGCUAAAAGAUUUUAAUAAUCUUAUAGAAAGAAGUCAUCAACAUUUUUCUGAUGAUUCUGCCAGUAAGGGCAUGCUCCUUGGGGAGACCUUGGGACCACAGUUAUAAACAAAAGUCAUUUAAUGUCUUGAGGCACAGCCUAAGCUCAAACUGACAGCACAGUGUCCAGAUGGCGGGCACCUGGGCAGGGAGGAGGAACCUCCAAUGCUCAGGCAUGUCACAGGACAUUGGUAAAUGACAUCUCUUUGUUCACAGCAGAUGCUGAAGCUUCCAAACGUGGUGGUAAAUUAACACUCCCCCUCCACCCUUCUCAGUUCACUCAUGCUGAAGAGUGUUUUUCACCUUUUGAAAUCCAUCUAAUUUGAAGUAAAUGAAUAGUUUUCUGCACUAAUAACAUGAAACAUAUGAGAGUCAGUUUAUAGCAGUUACAAGUUUAGUAAUUACUGAAGUAAAAGGACUAGAAGAGUAAUCACAGUUAAUAUGAGAUUAAUUGAGCUGUACCUGGAGCAGAGAAAAUUUUUCAGUAGAGUACUGAGAGUCCCUCUUUCAAAUGUGAAACCAUAAAAUGCUGAUAUCAUGUAACUAUCUAGUUAGUAACAUAAGGCAAGUGGAGAAAGUGGGAGGAAAAGGCCUGCUUUUAAUGAAUGUCUACUAUGUGCCGGACACUAUAUAUAUAAAAAUUAAAGCUUCAAAACCCCCUUAUUUUGGUAGAAAUUAAUCAACCCCCAAUUUAUAGAUGGUGACAUUGGGAACCAGAGAGAUGUAUACUCAGUGCCUGUACUUUCCACGGGGCCACAUUUCCUGAGGAACAAACAUGCAUUCACCACAAAGAGCUUCUCAUGCUGUGAACCCUUUCUCAAGUCUCUUCUAAUUUCUUAAUUUUUUUCUCUAUGCACUUUUCUUCAGAUGUUACAGAAAUGCUAAUAUAUGCCCUUUUCAAGAUUUCUGCUUCUAUUAGAUCAAAAUCAUGAUGUUUAAAUGCCUACUAUCAUUUAAAUUACAGAGUUAUGCUAGUCUCUGUUUUCUUUACCAAGUGCUAUUCUUUUUAGUUCUUAAUGCAAUAUAAUAGCCUUGUAUUUUCUUGAGGUAAAAGGUUUCUGAUUCAUUUAGGUGUGUCCAGGUACCUAACAAUGUCAAAUAAAAAGGUAUCAUCUAUGCUAUUGAUAAUCUCACAGAUUUAUUCUUGGUCUUAAAGAAAAUAAAACCUCUACAGCUAUUCAAAAAAAAUCAACAUCCUUAUUGACUACAAACAACGACAGAGCUGAAUCUUGUCAAUUUGGACAUUAAAAGCAAGGCAACCUUGUGUUGACCAAAAAAAAUUGUGUUGAAUUUGAUGUGGCUGAGCCAAUAAACAUCUCAAUCGAGAUGCAAUUAAACUCACUCCAAGUUACCUGCAGUGAUAUCUUGCAUAGAAGGUAGAAUAGCAAGGGAGAAGGUAUUUAUUAAAAUAAAAAGCAUCUUAUCCCAGAGAGGAGUUUGGAGAUUCUUACUAUAUUUUGUAACACUAGAACUCCCUUUCAGUUCAAAGUAUGUGUUUGACAGAUCCCUAAAGUAGCAACUAAAGACAGAAAGAAAUCAACAAAAAGGUAAAUCAAGUUGCAAUGGGCUGAAUGUUGUCCCUGCAAAAGCCAUGUAUUGAAGCCCUAACCUCAGAAUGUGACUAUUUGGAGAACAGGGUCUUUAAAGAUGUAAUGAGGUUAAAAAUGGGGUCACUAAAGUGGGCCCUAACCCACAGGUCCAUAUAAGAAGAGGAGAUCAGGACACGGACAAUGGGCACACACUGUGACAAGAUCAUGUGCACUCACAGCAAGGAGGCAGCUAUCUCUCUGAAAGCCACGGACAGAAGCCUCGGAAAAAAACAAACUUGUCAACAGCUUGAUCUUGAAUUUCUAACCUCCAGAACUGAAAGAAAAUAAUUUUUUGUUGUGUCAGCCACCCAGUCUGUGGUAUUUUAUUACGGCAGCCCUAGAAAAUUAAUACACAAAUCCUGGACAUUUCUUGGAGAAGAAUAUGCUGAUGAAGUGGUAGAAGCUAUAUAGAGCUUUGUUUGUAGUAGUGAGAAAAUUUUAUCUCGAAUCGUUUUUUACAAACAAAACUCUAGAGACUAUUAUCUACUUCUCCAAACCAACAAACUAAUGCAACAAGAGAUUUUGUGGUGAGAGGGCAUUGGAAUCAAAAGCAAAAACCAUGUGUCAGAGCUUUUAUCCUGACACCACCUGGAAGGCUGUGGGCCAGGUACUGGGAGGGGAUGAAGGUAAAAAGAAGAUGCAAGGAAAAUGAAGAGAAGCUCAGAGUCCAGGGGAGGAGCCAGACACUUGGAUAACUAUCAAAUGAAGCCAAAAGUUGAAGUAUAUGGUAUAAGCAAAGGGUCAUGGGAACAACAGGUAGAUUAUAAUUAAUUUCAAGUAAAGCUAUCCAAAAAGUACAAUCAAUAAGUGAGAGACUGCAGUCCACUCUAAAGUCCCUUUUAAGUGCAAAAUUCUAUGACUCUGAAAUCCCUCUGCUGUAAUGACUUUGAUGGUUAAUAAUGGUCAGAAUGAGAACUCAAACACAUGACCAGGUAUGCUCAGUAUAAGCUUUUCCUGCUCUUCUAGCUAUAAGAUAACAAAACUGCCUGGACAAGUCGAUCAAGCCUCUUAUCAAAUGACUCUGUGUGUGUGUGUGUGUGUCUGUCUUAAGGUCAUAAGAGUGAUAUGGAGGAAAUUCAGUUUUUAUAAUUAAAAUAAUUUUGCAGUAAAAAUAAUAGACCACAUUAAUUCAGAUUCAUUCUAAGCAGUGAAAGCAACCUUGAAUUAAGUACCAAAGGGAAGGGAAUGUAUUCAUCUUAUUCUCCAUCACAAGUUCAAAGCCUAGCACCUUAUUGGCACAUGGAACGUAUUCAACAAAUGUUUUUUACAUGAAUGGAUAAACAUAUUUUCCAACAGAUGAUAAUGUAAUAUUUAUGGGAAGAAAACAUCUUGAAAAUUCAGCUCUAGAAAUACCCUAACUCAUCUAGCAGCUAGAUGAAUGUUUUAGUAAGCAGGUUGCAUGGUUUUGACAUUAGAACAUAUGGGUUUCAAGCCUUUCUGCAUUCAAUAGUUGGGUAACCUAUACUGUGUCCCUAUAUCUCUCAGACUCCCCAUCACUAUUGGUCCAUUGCGGUCAGUGAUACCAAUAAUUCUCCAUAUCACUGAUUGUUAUGAAGAUCAAAUAAAAUAAUGUGCAUGAAAAUUCCUUAAAAACAAAAGUGAGAGGAAUGUAACAAAUGUACAAUUAGGCGGUCUGUAUGUUGCAAAGAGUUCCACCAUCUCUCUUGCAGCUCAACAUUCAGAGAUAGAAAUUGACUUGCACUGUAGAUACUUCGGAAGAGCACUGAACUAUAAAAAAUAAAUGUUGAAAAAUAAAGAAGAAUGUCAUGAGUUUAGACAAGUCAGAAGUGGAAAAGUCCGUUGACGCCUGCCCCAGCAACAUUCUACUUUGCACAACAUGUCUGUCCCAUUCAUAGAACCAGCCAAAAGUAAUUUGUUUUUCAGUAAAUCCUCAUUUCCAAUAUUCUGGAUGGCCUCUGGCAGAAAAUGUUAUAUAGCUGUAAAAGGCAAUUCUUCAUCAGGCCAUUUUAAGAUUUUGCCUGUCCUAGCUACUUAAUUUUGGAAGCUGCAUCCUAUAUUCUAUCAAAAAUUAAAAUGUACCCACAUCCCAUAUUCGAUAUAAUUCAAAUCCAACUCUAGAUGAGUUGUAUUACAGUUUGGUGGCCAAUAUAGUAAAUACCAUAUUGAUAAAUGUUUAUUAUCUUGCAUUUUAUCAUUUUCAUUCAUCUUUUAACACUAGUAAUUUUGUUCAAGUCCCAUAAAUAUUGAGUAGACCCUUGAAAAACAAGUAGUACUCACGGUCUAGACCCAUGGUGGUAACAGAUAAUACAGCCCUGUCUUUCAUAAUUAUCCAAUUAGUCACUUUGUAUAAUUGUACUGGAUUUUGAGAAGGGAGAAAAAGUCCUCACUGGCUGUUUCCCAGUAAUCUUUGCCCACAAGUCUAUUUUCCCCACCUGCUAUGUUUGCCUAAGACCGGUCAUUUGUUACCUGCUAGUUCCAAUUGAUUUCCUUUGCCUUUGCCUCCUUUAGCCAUGAGUGCAAAGAACAGACUGUACGAUUUAUACCAGCCAUCUAGUACCAAUCAUUAGAUAACAAGACCCUUUACUGAAAGCAUUUAGAGUAAAACAAUACUUUAAGUUUACCUUUGCUUUCAUUUCCUUCUUUAUUACACUAGGUUCAAAGUGAGGCCAAAAAUGGUAUCACAAGGCCUGUUUAGACAUCCAAGCAAAGAAUGCCAAGUCAUUCUAAAUAAAUCCCUAGGCUCCAAUAGAAUUUUAUGCGUUUUCAAGUGCAAGUUUCCAAUAACAUUUUUGGGUUUGGUUUUCCUCUUGUUUGUUUCAGUCACUGUCUUUACAUAUAAGGGGAAAUGAGUCAUAUUAAAUUAUGCCCCAGCAAGUGUCUUAUGGAGUUAUAUCUAAGCCAUCCUGUUUGCUAAUAAAAAGAUAAGAUUUGUCCUCUGAAAGAAGCAGGCUUGGACUACACCAAAGAGCUCACAGCAGUGUUAGACAAUCCCAAAGUCAUUAGCUGGUGGGGGCAUCUGAACUUGUGCCCUUGCCUCAAGUGGGAGGGGUAGGAAGGGAGUAGCAGGGAUCUGUCAGUCUUGGAAACUCAGGCCCAUGACAAAGAUCCUGAGAACUUCCUACGGUUACCAAGAGGCUGCAGUACAUUGCAUAGUUUUCUUGAUAAUUAUUUUCUAAAGUUGGUGCUGCCUACUGGCUCAUCAUUGCUGGUAGAACAUUACCAAGACCCAUGUCUUCCAGAAUCACAGGACUCUAAGAUCCAUACAGAAGAAAUAAAGGUUUCUACACCAGAUGCAAGGGGGAAAGUCUGUAUUUCAAACUUUGAGCUCAAGUUGACCUCUCUAAUGUGUAACCCCCCAAAGAGAUUUCCUGAUUUCCUCACCUGAUUAGCCUCAAAGUCAUACAAACCAAUUCCAAUAUUUGCCAAGGUAAAUGCAAUUAGGUGGAAUAGUCUGCCACAAAUCUUAAAGCCAAAUACACAUGGUUUUGAGAUAUUCAGAUGAUCCUAUUUGGGGUAUUCUGUUCAUUAGCAUGGAUUAGUGCCUAUAUAUAAUCGCCUACAAGGGUCAAGCACAGAAUGUAAAUGCAGUAUAAGGCAAAAUCACAUGGUAAAGAUAGAGAAACCGGAGAGGCCAUGCCCCAUCUAAGAGAGCAGCUGCUGUUCAGCCAUGGCUGAUUGCUGGCAGGUAGAAUGGUGUCCUGGCAUGGCCAGCGAGUCUGACACUUCAAGACAAGCCAUAAAUCUGGAUUUUUGUGUGAGGUUUCCCUGUCUGAGUUUUUUAUAUAUUGUGUUCACCUAGCCUGUGUAUGUCUGCGAGUCACAGGUAGCCCAGGGCGCAAAGAGUCUGAGGACUGGUGUGAAUCCUAAUUAAUUCUUCCAUUUGGCAUGAAUGACAAUGACAGCACCAAGUCAUUCUUUUGUUUUCGUUAUUUAAUUUAGCCUUUGCUGACCUCAAAGAGUUACUAAAGAAUAUUCAACAACGAGGAAGUGUGGAGUGGAACAAGAUCUAUGAAACAGCAAAGUAGAUAUCAAAGUAAAACACACACCACACACACAUUCCUCAUUCAAAAUUACCAGAAAAACUUUAAACUAUGAAUGUUCGUCAUAUGGAUAAGUUAUUUCAACCGUAUAGAUUUUUUAAAGUCCUGUUAAGUGAUGUACCUAUUUCAUCUAUUUUCUUUACUAUUGAAUUUUUUAAAAUACGUGCACAGUGAGGUGACCUUUAUAUCAAAGACCACAAACAAUGUUUAAAGAUAUGCAGCACCUUCUUAAAGAAACACACACAUUCUUAUAAGCAUAGUUAAAAGGGGAAAGGUUAAAGGCUAUACUAGAUUGUUCUAUUCUGUGCCAAGAUUCUGCUCCAGCUGCAACCAAAUAGUGGUUCUCAGGCUUAAUUAAAUAAAGACCUGUGUAAAUUCUAACUGUUUACUAUGUGAUUAGAACUUCUCUGGGCAAAAAGCUCAUAUUUGAUUUCCUUGUUGUCUGCACUUGCCCAAACCCUUUACCCACCAGGUAUGUACUGAAGCUGUGUAAACUCCACAUUUUUCUUUUGGAAUCAAGGGUAAGAUAUAAAAGUUUAUAGAAACAGUGAAACCCAAUUGUGGAAAAUUCAUUUUAUGUGAAUGAAAAAAAAAUAGUCUAUAUAAUUACAACCAAUGUUGUCAUGAUGAAAUUUCUCCUGGUAACAUGGAGAGCAGUAGUUCUUAACCUUUGCAUAACAGUCGUCUGGGUGCCUGUUAAAAACACCACUACCCAGGCCCCAUCCCGGAGGUUUGGAGGUUCUCUGCGACUAUGAGUGAGACCUCCCAAAGUGAUUUGAAUGCUGGCGAUCCAAGGACCACGUUUGGAGAGGCAUCAAUCCAGAGAAAAACCCUACUCCAAGCUGAACAUAGGAGAACUGUUAUCUGAAUUCAUUUUGGGAAAAAACAUGGUUUUAGUCUUAUUAAUGAGAUGUGGUCAUGGCAGGAAUACCCUCUUCAAACAGGAAUAGCCUUUUCAGUUUCAAAACUUAGCUAAUAAUUCAUUUUAUCUUUUAAUAUUUUCAAAAUUCAGUGUAUAUAAAUAAUUAACAUCAUCUACUAGUAUUUUUUAAUUCAGUUCAUUUAAAAAUCAUA